GACAGAGGGUGCAAACGUUGUUCGGAAUUACUGGGCGUAAAGCGCGUGUAGGCUGCUCGGAAAGUCGGAUGUGAAAGCCCUGGGCUCAACCUAGGAAGUGCAUUCGAAACUUCCGAGCUGGAGUGCUGGAGAGGAAGGCGGAAUUCUCGGUGUAGAGGUGAAAUUCGUAGAUAUCGAGAGGAACACCGGUGGCGAAGGCGGCCUUCUGGACAGCCACUGGACGCUGAGACGCGAAAGCGUGGGGAGCAAACAG
rnacentral:rRNA from 1 species